UUGUGCCAAGGUAUUAUGCUGAUCGAUUUUCUUUAUUUUUUUUCUUUAUACUGUUAUGGGCUGGGUGGAUUGAAUUGGACUUGGGAGUUCUCUGUUCUCUAAUAUUGGGUCGGGUAUAUAUAUAUAUCUCCCUAUAUAUACAUGAGGUGGUUUAUUUUUGCAAUUCUGGUUUGGGUUUUUUGUUUAUUCUUAUUUAUUCCUGCUGUGUCCACACAGCAAGUAACGUUUAAUGUUUUUUUGUUUUUUUUUUUCGGGGGCUAUCUUCCUUCUGCUGAACUUCCUUUUGGGGAUUUCUGACCUUGUGUCUUUUUUUUUUCUCUUUGCUUUUCGUUUUGUCCCCCUUUGAGUGCUCUAUGCAAGUCCCAAGUGAGGACUUAUCUUUAUUGUCUACUUUCAACAUGACAAAAUAACCCCCUGUUGACAUCCCUUCUAUACAGCUAUAUACCACGACAAACGCACAUAGACACACAGAGAUCUAUCCAUCCAUCCAUCUAUCUAUCUAUCUAUAUAUCUAUACAAGACAGGAGCUUCAACAUGCAAAGUUGUAGCAUGUCAACCACACCACCAAUCAAACUACAAGGUGGCACAAUCCAUAACCUCCUUGAUCACAUGAUUCACAUUCACCUCUCUUGUGAACUGUGGGAUGGUUAAUCUUCUCAUUGUGUGUUCACUAGCUAACUAUAUAAAGUGAAAAGUCUCAGUAAUUUAAUGAAACAUCUAAAUACCACUGUACUCAGAGGUUUGAUUAAUUCAUCUGCUAUCAUAUUCUCAGUGGAAAUGUGAUUAAUCAAAAUAAUGUCUUCAUUCAGUUGUGUGUGAGAAUAGUGGAAGCAAGUGUCAAUGUGCUUGCUGUGUACUGUGCU
rnacentral:sRNA from 1 species